UACGUAGGUGGCAAGCGUUGUCCGGAAUUACUGGGCGUAAAGGGCGUGUAGGCGGCGAUGUAAGUCAGGCGUGAAAACUCUGGGCUUAACUUGGAGAUUGCGUUUGAAACUGGAUGGCUAGAGGAUCGGAGAGGGCAGUGGAAUUCCCAGUGUAGCGGUGAAAUGCGUAGAUAUUGGGAGGAACACCAGUGGCGAAGGCGGAUGACUGGACGACACCUGACGCUGAGGCGCGAAAGCUAGGGGAGCAAACGGG
rnacentral:rRNA from 1 species